rnacentral:tRNA from 1 species
GGCGGUAUAGCUCAGUUGGUUAGAGCGUUCCCCUCAUAAGGGAAAGGCCACUGGUUCGAGUCCAGUUGCCGCUAC